rnacentral:tRNA from 2 species
GGCUCCUUGGUCAAGUGGUUAAGACUCCGGCCUCUCACGCCGGCUACAGGGGUUCAAAUCCCCUAGGAGUCACCA